UACGGGAGGCAGCAGUGGGGAAUAUUGCACAAUGGGCGAAAGCCUGAUGCAGCUAUGCCGCGUGUAUGAAGAAGGCCUUAGGGUUGUAAAGUACUUUCAUCGGGGAGGAAAAAACAAAACUAAUAAUUUUAUUUCUUGACGUUACCCGAAAAAGAAGCACCGGCUAACUCCGUGCCAGCAGCCGCGGUAAUACGGAGGGUGCUAGCGUUAAUCAGAAUUACUGGGCGUAAAGAGCACGUAGGUGGUUUUUUUAAGUCAGAUGUGAAAUCCCUGGGCUUAACCUAGGAACUGCAUUUUGAAACUGAAAUACUAGAGUAUCGUAGAGGGAGGUAGAAUUCUAGGUGUAGCGGUGAAAUGCGUAGAUAUCUGGAGGAAUACCUGUGGCGAAAGCGGCCUCUAAACGAAUACUGACACUGAGGUGCGAAAAGCGUGGGGAGCGAAAACAGGGAUUAGGAUACC
rnacentral:rRNA from 1 species